rnacentral:rRNA from 1 species
GACAGAGGGUGCAAACGUUGUUCGGAAUUACUGGGCGUAAAGCGAGUUGUAGGCGGUGUGGUAAGUCGGAUGUGAAAGCCCCGGGCUCAACCCGGGAAGUGCACUCGAUACUGCCACGCUAGAGUAUCGGAGAGGUUGGUGGAAUUCUCGGUGUAGAGGUGAAAUUCGUAGAUAUCGAAGAGGAACACGGUGGCGAAGCGCCAACUGGACGAAUACUGACGCUGAGACUCGAAAGCGUGGGGAGCAAACAGGAU